rnacentral:rRNA from 1 species
AUUGAACGCUGGCGGCAUGCCUUACACAUGCAAGUCGAACGGCAGCAUGAUCUAGCUUGCUAGAUUGAUGGCGAGUGGCGAACGGGUGAGUAAUACAUCGGAACGUGCCCUGUAGUGGGGGAUAACUAGUCGAAAGAUUAGCUAAUACCGCAUACGACCUGAGGGUGAAAGUGGGGGACCGCAAGGCCUCAUGCUAUAAGAGCGGCCGAUGUCUGAUUAGCUAGUUGGUGAGGUAAAGGCUCACCAAGGCGACGAUCAGUAGCUGGUCUGAGAGGACGAUCAGCCACACUGGGACUGAGACACGGCCCAGACUCCUACGGGAGGCAGCAGUGGGGAAUUUUGGACAAUGGGCGAAAGCCUGAUCCAGCAAUGCCGCGUGUGUGAAGAAGGCCUUCGGGUUGUAAAGCACUUUUGUCCGGAAAGAAAUGGCUCUGGUUAAUACCUGGGGUCGAUGACGGUACCGGAAGAAUAAGGACCGGCUAACUACGUG